GGGCCAGUAGCUCAGUUGGCAGAGCCCCCGGCUCAUAACCGGAUGGUCGUAGGUUCGAAUCCUACCUGGCCCACCA
rnacentral:tRNA from 1 species